CCUACGGGUGGCAGCAGUGAGGAAUAUUGGUCAAUGGGCGCGAGCCUGAACCAGCCAAGUAGCGUGAAGGAUGACUGCCCUACGGGUUGUAAACUUCUUUUAUAAAGGAAUAAAUUGAGGCACGUUUGCCUUGUUGUAUGUACUUUAUGAAUAAGGAUCGGCUAACUCCGUGCCAGCAGCCGCGGUAAGACGGAGGUUCCUAGCGUUAUCCGGUUUGAUUGGGUUUAAAGGGAGCGUAGAUGGGUUGGUAAGUCAGUUGUUAAAGUUUGCGGCUCAACCGUAAAAUUGCAAUUGAUACUGGUAGUCUUGAGUACAGUUGAGGUAGGCGGAAUGCGUGGUGUAGCGGUGAAAUGCUUAGAUAUCACGAAGAACUCCGAUUGCGAAAGCAGCUUACUAAGCUGCCACUGACAUUGAUGCUCGAAAGUGUGGGUAUCAAACAGGAUUAGAUACCCGUGUAGUC
rnacentral:rRNA from 1 species